GUUCAAGAAGCAAAUCCAAAAGAAGUGACCUAUGCUGAGAGGCUAACAAAAAUAAAAGGAAUUUUGUCUGGAGAGACUUCAAUACAGUUGACUCUAUAAUUUUUAUACAGUCAUAACAAGUCGGAUCUUCUUAUUCUCAAGACAAUAAAGCAGUCUGUGGAGCCGAGAAAUAGUGUUUGCCACAGUGCAA